rfam:Candidatus Buchananbacteria bacterium RIFCSPHIGHO2_01_FTLL_39_14 rifcsphigho2_01_scaffold_35498, whole genome shotgun sequence.
UCUGAGGUAGCUCAAUGGUAGAGCGGCUGACUGUUAAUCAGCGGGUUGUGGGUUCGAAUCCCACCCUCAGAG